rfam:Stegodyphus mimosarum contig103951, whole genome shotgun sequence.
GCUUUCGUGGUGUAGUGGUCAGCAUGUUCAACGCGUAACCCAGAUGUCCGUGGUUCGAUUCCCGGCGAAGGCG